rnacentral:lncRNA from 1 species
CCUCCCACAUUGCCUCAUAUGAGGGCUUAUUACGUACCAAAUAUUUUAUAUCUAGAAAAAAUAGAAUAAAAUAAGCAAAAAGAAUACUGAUGGUCCAGUUCAAUUUGGAUGGUAAUGAUGCUUAAUUUAAGUUUCCAAGUAAACCGCAAGUUUGCUUGGCACAUGAAAUAUCGUGCAGAGGAGCAUGAAUCUCCCAUCCAACCAAGC